rnacentral:rRNA from 1 species
GAUGAACGCUAGCUACAGGCUUAACACAUGCAAGUCGAGGGGCAGCAUGGAAGAAGCUUGCUUCUUCUGAUGGCGACCGGCGCACGGGUGCGUAACGCGUAUCAAACCUGCCUCAUACUCGGGGAUAGCCUUGCGAAAGUAAGAUUAAUACCCGAUGUUGUUAUGUUGCCGCAUGGUGAUAUAACCAAAGAUUUAUCGGUAUGAGAUGGUGAUGCGUCCGAUUAGGUAGUAGGCGGGGUAACGGCCCACCUAGCCUUCGAUCGGUAGGGGUUCUGAGAGGAAGGUCCCCCACACUGGAACUGAGACACGGUCCAGACUCCUACGGGAGGCAGCAGUGAGGAAUAUUGGUCGAUGGACGCAAGUCUGAACCAGCCAAGUAGCGUGCAGGAUGACGGCCCUCCGGGUUGUAAACUGCUUUUAGUUGGGAAUAAAAAAGAGGACGUGUCCUCUAUUGUAUGUACCUUCAGAAAAAGGACCGGCUAAUUCCGUGCCAGCAGCCGCGGUAAUACGGAAGGUCCAGGCGUUAUCCGGAUUUAUUGGGUUUAAAGGGAGCGUAGGCGGAUUAUUAAGUCAGUGGUGAAAGACGGUGGCUCAACCAUCGUUAGCCAUUGAAACUGGUAGUCUUGAGUGCAGACAGGGAUGCUGGAACUCGUGGUGUAGCGGUGAAAUGCUUAGAUAUCACGAUGAACUCCGAUCGCGAAGGCGGGUGUCCGGUCUGCAACUGACGCUGAGGCUCGAAAGUGUGGGUAUCAAACAGG